rnacentral:tRNA from 1 species
GCGCCCUUAGCUCAGCUGGAUAGAGCAUGGCACUUCUAAUGCCAGGGUCGGGAGUUCGAAUCUCUCAGGGCGUGCCA